GAGAACCUCCGGGGGCAGGGAGGUUCGACUCGAGCGAAGCGAGAGAACGUUGCGCCAGCAACGGCCCGCAGGGCGAGCCACGAAGUGGCGAGUAAUCCUCUAUCACCGACCA
rnacentral:sRNA from 1 species